rnacentral:rRNA from 1 species
UACGGAGGGUGCAAGCGUUAAUCGGAAUUACUGGGCGUAAAGCGCGCGUAGGCGGUUUGGUCAGUUAUGUGUGAAAGCCCUGGGCUCAACCUAGGAAUUGCAUGUAAUACUGCCAGGCUAGAGUACGAGAGAGGUGGGUAGAAUUCCUAGUGUAGCGGUGAAAUGCGUAGAUAUUAGGAGGAAUACCAGUGGCGAAGGCGGCCCACUGGCUCGAUACUGACGCUGAGGUGCGAAAGCGUGGGGAGCAAACAGG